GGGUUGUGAGGUUAAGCGACUAAGCGUACACGGUGGAUGCCUAGGCAGUCAGAGGCGAUGAAGGGCGUGCUAAUCUGCGAAAAGCGUCGGUAAGCUGAUAUGAAGCGUUAUAACCGACGAUACCCGAAUGGGGAAACCCAGUGCAAUACGUUGCACUAUCGUUAGAUGAAUACAUAGUCUAACGAGGCGAACCGGGGGAACUGAAACAUCUAAGUACCCCGAGGAAAAGAAAUCAACCGAGAUUCCCCCAGUAGCGGCGAGCGAACGGGGAGGAGCCCAGAGUCUGAAUCAGUUUGUGUGUUAGUGGAAGCGUCUGGAAAGUCGCACGGUACAGGGUGAUAGUCCCGUACACCAAAAUGCACAGGCUGUGAACUCGAUGAGUAGGGCGGGACACGUGACAUCCUGUCUGAAUAUGGGGGGACCAUCCUCCAAGGCUAAAUACUCCUGACUGACCGAUAGUGAACCAGUACCGUGAGGGAAAGGCGAAAAGAACCCCGGCGAGGGGAGUGAAAUAGAACCUGAAACCGUGUACGUACAAGCAGUGGGAGCACCUUCGUGGUGUGACUGCGUACCUUUUGUAUAAUGGGUCAGCGACUUAUAUUUUGUAGCAAGGUUAACCGAAUAGGGGAGCCGUAGGGAAACCGAGUCUUAACUGGGCGUCUAGUUGCAAGGUAUAGACCCGAAACCCGGUGAUCUAGCCAUGGGCAGGUUGAAGGUUGGGUAACACUAACUGGAGGACCGAACCGACUAAUGUUGAAAAAUUAGCGGAUGACUUGUGGCUGGGGGUGAAAGGCCAAUCAAACCGGGAGAUAGCUGGUUCUCCCCGAAAGCUAUUUAGGUAGCGCCUCGUGAACUCAUCUUCGGGGGUAGAGCACUGUUUCGGCUAGGGGGCCAUCCCGGCUUACCAAACCGAUGCAAACUCCGAAUACCGAAGAAUGUUAUCACGGGAGACACACGGCGGGUGCUAACGUCCGUCGUGAAGAGGGAAACAACCCAGACCGCCAGCUAAGGUCCCAAAGUCAUGGUUAAGUGGGAAACGAUGUGGGAAGGCACAGACAGCCAGGAUGUUGGCUUAGAAGCAGCCAUCAUUUAAAGAAAGCGUAAUAGCUCACUGGUCGAGUCGGCCUGCGCGGAAGAUGUAACGGGGCUAAACCAUGCACCGAAGCUGCGGCAGCGACGUUUAGGCGUUGUUGGGUAGGGGAGCGUUCUGUAAGCCGUUGAAGGUGACCUGUGAGGGUUGCUGGAGGUAUCAGAAGUGCGAAUGCUGACAUAAGUAACGAUAAUGCGGGUGAAAAACCCGCACGCCGGAAGACCAAGGGUUCCUGUCCAACGUUAAUCGGGGCAGGGUGAGUCGACCCCUAAGGCGAGGCUGAAAAGCGUAGUCGAUGGGAAACAGGUUAAUAUUCCUGUACUUGGUGUUACUGCGAAGGGGGACGGAGAAGGCUAGGCUGGCCGGGCGACGGUUGUCCCGGUUUAAGCGUGUAGGGGGAGUGACCAGGUAAAUCCGGUUGCUUAUCAACCCUGAGGCGUGAUGACGAUGCACUACGGUGCAGAAGCAGUUGAUGCCAUGCUUCCAGGAAAAGCCUCUAAGCAUCAGGUAACAUUAAAUCGUACCCCAAACCGACACAGGUGGUCAGGUAGAGAAUACUCAGGCGCUUGAGAGAACUCGGGUGAAGGAACUAGGCAAAAUGGUGCCGUAACUUCGGGAGAAGGCACGCUGGCGUUAGGUGAAAGGACUAGCUCCUGGAGCUGAAGCCAGUCGCAGAUACCAGCUGGCUGCAACUGUUUAAUAAAAACACAGCACUGUGCAAACACGAAAGUGGACGUAUACGGUGUGACGCCUGCCCGGUGCUGGAAGGUUAAUUGAUGGGGUCAGCCGCAAGGCGAAGCUCUUGAUCGAAGCCCCAGUAAACGGCGGCCGUAACUAUAACGGUCCUAAGGUAGCGAAAUUCCUUGUCGGGUAAGUUCCGACCUGCACGAAUGGCGUAAUGAUGGCCAGGCUGUCUCCACCCGAGACUCAGUGAAAUUGAACUCGCUGUGAAGAUGCAGUGUACCCGCGGCAAGACGGAAAGACCCCGUGAACCUUUACUAUAGCUUGACACUGAACAUUGAGCCUUGAUGUGUAGGAUAGGUGGGAGGCAUUGAAGUGUGGACGCCAGUCUGCAUGGAGCCAACCUUGAAAUACCACCCUUUAAUGUUUGAUGUUCUAACUCGGCCCCAUGAUCUGGGGUGAGGACAGUGUCUGGUGGGUAGUUUGACUGGGGCGGUCUCCUCCCAAAGAGUAACGGAGGAGCACGAAGGUUAGCUAAUCACGGUCGGACAUCGUGAGGUUAGUGCAAAGGCAUAAGCUAGCUUGACUGCGAGAGUGACGGCUCGAGCAGGUACGAAAGUAGGUCUUAGUGAUCCGGUGGUUCUGAAUGGAAGGGCCAUCGCUCAACGGAUAAAAGGUACUCCGGGGAUAACAGGCUGAUACCGCCCAAGAGUUCAUAUCGACGGCGGUGUUUGGCACCUCGAUGUCGGCUCAUCACAUCCUGGGGCUGAAGUAGGUCCCAAGGGUAUGGCUGUUCGCCAUUUAAAGUGGUACGCGAGCUGGGUUUAGAACGUCGUGAGACAGUUCGGUCCCUAUCUGCCGUGGGCGUUGGAAGAUUGAGAGGGGCUGCUCCUAGUACGAGAGGACCGGAGUGGACGAAUCACUGGUGUUCGGGUUGUCAUGCCAAUGGCAUUGCCCGGUAGCUAAAUUCGGAAGAGAUAACCGCUGAAAGCAUCUAAGCGGGAAACUUGCCUCGAGAUGAGUCUUCCCUGGGGCUUAAAGCCCCUGAAGGAACGUUAAAGACUAUGACGUUGAUAGGCUGGGUGUGUAAGUGCAGCGAUGUAUUGAGCUAACCAGUACUAAUGAUCCGUGAGGCUUAACCUUACAACACCGAAGGUGUUU
rnacentral:rRNA from 1 species